CAGAGUUGCAAAACUCCCACAAACCAUCGCGAAUCUUACCCGUACGGUUGCCUCGGCGCUGGCGGUCCGGAAGGCCCUCGGGCCCCCCGGAUCCUCGGGUCUCCCGCUCGCGGGAGGCUGCCCGCCGGAGUGCCGAAACCAAACUCUUGAUAUUUUAUGUCUCUCUGAGUAAACUUUUAAAUGAGUCA
rnacentral:misc_RNA from 1 species